rnacentral:tRNA from 1 species
UAACUGGUGGUUCAGUGGUAUAAUUCUUGCCUUACAAGUGGGAGAACAGGGUUCAAUUCCCGGCCAGUGUA